UGGGGAAUAUUGGACAAUGGGCGAAAGCCUGAUCCAGCCAUGCCGCGUGUGUGAAGAAGGUCUUCGGAUUGUAAAGCACUUUAAGUUGGGAGGAAGGGCAGUAAGCGAAUACCUUGCUGUUUUGACGUUACCGACAGAAUAAGCACCGGCUAACUCUGUGCCAGCAGCCGCGGUAAUACAGAGGGUGCAAGCGUUAAUCGGAAUUACUGGGCGUGAAGCGCGCGUAGGUGGUUCGUUAAGUUGAAUGUGAAAGCCCCGGGCUCAACCUGGGAACUGCAUCCAAAACUGGCGAGCUAGAGUAGGGCAGAGGGUGGUGGAAUUUCCUGUGUAGCGGUGAAAUGCGUAGAUAUAGGAAGGAACACCAGUGGCGAAGGCGACCACCUGGGCUCAUACUGACACUGAGGUGCGAAAGCGUGGGGAGCAAACAGG
rnacentral:rRNA from 1 species